UCACCAGAUGAGCCAUCCACAUCCCUCACUGCAUGUGAAGGUCCCCUACGACCAAAAUGUUUAAGUGAUCCAUUAUCUAAAGAAGAGUGAAUGCUACGACCACUUCCAAGGGUUUUAACUUCUCCACUCCUUGAAUUUGAUGGGUCAACUUUUACAUCUCCAAGGCUUCCUUGAGAAGAAUCUACAACUGAUUGUGUAGAUUGAGAUGCAGAUGACAAGGAUUCAUCACUUGCAUAUGAUCCAUCUGAUCGACGAAGAGGAGUCCAUACACGAUCGGGCCUAUCCUUAUUUCUUGUGCGCUUUUCCUGCUUCUCACCAGAAACACCAUGCAAGUCAUUACCCACGAGUUUGUCAUCUGAGACUCCAUUUGCAUCCUUCACAAUCAAUUGCACAUGCUGAGGACGAGGAGGACGCUUAUCCUUUUCUAUACUUGAGUUUUGAGUUUGCUGCUCAGACAGGGCCCCAGAAGAUUGAUUUUGGCGUGAUUCCUUGUUUAGAAGUAUGCUUCUGAUUAUCAUGCCGCUGGCCUCACGUCGCUGGCUCUGUUUGAGAGCAGAGCUAGUCAGAUUUCUAUCAAAUGAUGCUGCAUUUGUUGGAAUUUCAGCAUCAGUAAUUCCAGAAAUUCCACUUUCAUCUUCCAAUACUUCAGUUACUGAUGCAGA
rnacentral:misc_RNA from 1 species